rnacentral:rRNA from 1 species
UGAGAGGGUGAGUCCCUCGCAAUGGCACUGAAACACCGGCCAUACACUACCGGUGGCAGCAGUAGGGAAUAUUGGGCAUGGGCGAAAGCUGACCCAGCAACGCCGCGUGCACGAUGAAGCUCGGGUCGUAAAGUGCUUUUCUGAGGAAUGAGUAAGGACAGUACCUCAGGAAUAAGCCUCGGCUAACUACGUGCCAGCAGCCGCGGUAAAACGUAGGAGGCAAGCGUAUCCGGAUUUACUGGGCGUAAAGCGUGUGUAGGCGGUUCGGCAAGUUGGAUGUGAAAGCUCCUGGCUUAACUAGGAGAGGUCGUUCAAUACUACCGAACUUGAGGGCAUCAGAGGAAGGUGGAAUUCCCGGUGUAGUGGUGAAAUGCGUAGAUAUCGGGAGGAACACCAGUGGCGAAGGCGGCCUUCUGGGAUGUUCCUGACGCUCAGACACGAAAGCUAGGGUAGCGAACGGGAUUAGAGACCCCGGUAGUCCUAGCAGUAAACGAUGUAGACUUGGUGUCGGAGGUGUCAAAACCUUCGGUAUCGUAGCUAACGCGAUAAGUCUACCGCCUGGGGACUGCGGCCGCAAGGUUGAAACUCAAAGGAAUUGACGGGGGCCCGCACAAGCGGUGGAUGAUGUGGAUUAAUUCGAUGCAACGCGAAGAACCUUACCUACCCUUGACAUGCCAGGAACUUGCCAGAGAUGGCUUGGUGCCCGAAAGGGAACCUGGACACAGGUGCUGCAUGGCUGUCGUCAGCUCGUGUCGUGAGAUGUUGGGUUAAGUCCCGCAACGAGCGCAACCCUUGCCAUUAGUUGCUACGAAAGGGCACUCUAAUGGGACUGCCGGUGACAAACCGGAGGAAGGUGGGGAUGACGUCAAGUCCUCAUGGCCCUUAUGGGUAGGGCUUCACACGUCAUACAAUGGUCGGUACAGAGGGCAGCCAACCCGCGAGGGGGAGCCAAUCCCAGAAAACCGAUCGUAGUCCGGAUUGUAGUCUGCAACUCGACUACAUGAAGUCGGAAUCGCUAGUAAUCGCAGGUCAGCAUACUGCGGUGAAUACGUUCCCGGGCCUUGUACACACCGCCCGUCACACCAUGGGAGUGGGUUGCUCCAGAAGUAGGUAGCCUAACCGCAAGGAGGGCGCUUACCACGGUGGGAUUCAUGACUGGGGUGAAGUCGUAACAAGGUAGCCGU